rnacentral:rRNA from 1 species
CAGUAGCCGCGGUAAUACAGAGGGUGCGAGCGUUAAUCGGAUUUACUGGGCGUAAAGCGUGCGUAGGCGGCUUCUUAAGUCGGAUGUGAAAUCCCUGAGCUUAACUUAGGAAUUGCAUUCGAUACUGGGAAGCUAGAGUAUGGGAGAGGAUGGUAGAAUUCCAGGUGUAGCGGUGAAAUGCGUAGAGAUCUGGAGGAAUACCGAUGGCGAAGGCAGCCAUCUGGCCUAAUACUGACGCUGAGGUACGAAAGCAUGGGGAGCAAACAGGAUUAGAGACCCGCGUAGUCCCUGUCUCUUAUAC